CCCGACUGGUGAGCAGGUGGAAAGAAUUUUCGGUGGUUUUCAGAAUGGAAUAGAAGCCAGCACUGAGCAAGAGGCUGGCCUCUAAAAGGAAGGAGAAGUACUCUGCCUGAAGGCUUGGCUUCCUGGGAGUUUCCAGACACUGAGUUUAUAGAAGUUGCCCAAUUCUGCUAGAAUCCUUGUCAUUGUUUAAAAUUGAUUUCUGCUGAGGGAAAGGACUUGGCGUCAGAGAAUUGCAGAAAAUCCCCGUACUGAACCUCAGAGAACACUGAAUCCAACAUCCUUCCCCGAGUAAGGACUUCUGAAACAUCUGGCCCAAUGAUCUUCAUGCUUCUGCUUAUGGGGACUGAUGAGUUCAGGCAGGAAACCCAGACAGAGGUUUGAAUCACUGCAUGUCAGACCCACUUUGGGAAAAAAUAAGAACAAUGAAGAUAACCCUAGGAUACCUUCCCAGCCACUUCCAGGACAGGAGUGUGAUGGGGGCAAGUGGGAUGCUGCCUUCUCUGGCCACAGCCAUAAUCUCUUACACGUGCACAGCCCUUUAGGGUCUGGACAGUCCUUCCUCAGCUGGGGUUCAUCUGGUCUUCAUAGUGACACUGUGAGGCAGAGGAGGCAGGGAUCAGUUUUAGAUGGGUCUUAAAGUUAUAAGAAAGCUGCCCAGGGUCACAGAAAAAGGCAAAACCAGUCUUUGCCCUGUAGCCUGCACUGACUACCCACAUCUCUCCCAAAUAUGCCUGGACAAGGGCUUAUGCUGUGGACCAGACUGACACUUAGCAAUUUGGUAUUAGUCAUAUGGUUAUGUAAUAUUUUCAAAAAGUCUUAGCUCUAUUGAAAUCAUAGCGCUUAUAAGCAUAUAAAAACCUUUAGGAAUUUCAAAGUAAGUCCAAUUAAGAGGUUAUAGUGCACACCUAGACUGACCAAUGAUUAUUCUUCAAAUAGACCAAGAACAUCUCUUCGGUGGGGCAGUCUGCAUUAUGAUGUCAUGAGGCUGCUCUGUAGCAUAAAGACCCUUGGCCUCAUUCAUUCACUCAACGAACAUUGGUUGAAUGCCCACCUAUGGCCUACCCUAGGACCCAACUGUGAACAAGACCCAAGCAAGGAGCCCAGCUCUCUGCAGUGUGGCCUGGCUCCAGAGUUUGGACCUUGUCGUAAGGGCAACGAGGAGCCUUUGGAGGGUGAUUUAAACCAGUCAGAUUGUCCCUUUAGUUGUGGGGUGGAGAAGCCAUCAGAAGUGUUAGGCGGGGUGUCAGGAGGCCCUGCCGGUCUCAGCGAGGCGGCGAAGGCCUACACCAGAGCAACAGCCGUGGGGAUGGAGCCUCCAGCUGUUCGGGUGGCAGAAUCAACAAGACCUCGUCGCCGGCUAAGAAAUUUUGCAGCACCCUGUCCAUAUGCUUUGCUUCCAGUACGUCUGUCACACCCACUCCGCUGCAAACUCCUCCAGAAUGUCGUGCAAGCAGGGCUAUCUGAUUCAUCCGUGCAUUACCAGAUCCCAGUACCAUGCUCACUAAACUCAUAGUAGGUGCUCAAUAAAUGUUAGUUGCAUGCCUGUAAACAAAUUACAUUUAAACUUCACCCGAGCAGUCACUCCUAAUAUUCACCAAGCCCCAGGCUCCUCACGAGAGUUAAGUUCAGCUCUGUGCCUUAGGAAUGCCAGGUG